rnacentral:rRNA from 1 species
UUUUAACCGUGCAAAGGUAGCGUAAUCACUUGUCUUUUAAAUGAAGACCUGUAUGAAAGGCACCACGAGGGCUUAGCUGUCUCCUCCUCCCAAUCAAUUAAAUUGAUCCCCCCGUGCAGAAGCGGGGAUAUAAACAUAAGACGAGAAGACCCUAUGGAGCUUUAAACAUAUCAGGUUUACGUCACUACCUCCUAAACAAAGGAAUGAACUAAGCAUUCACCUAGAAAAUGUUUUUGGUUGGGGCGACCGCGGGAUAAUAAUUAACUCCCGUGAUGAGAAAGCAACGCUUUUAAAACUAAGACCUCCAAGUCUAAGUCGUAGAAACUCUAGCAAAUGAUCCGGCUAGCCGAUCAACGAACCGAGUUACCCUAGGGAUAACAGCGCAAUCCCCUUCAAGAGUCCUUAUCGACAAGGGGGUUUACGACCUCGAUGUUGGAUCAGGACAUCCUAAUGGUGUAGCCGCUAUUAAGGGUUCGUUUGUUCAACG